rnacentral:tRNA from 1 species
GUGGAUGCAACGGCUUACGGCAACCCUGACGCCCCGCGAAAGGCUGUUACCCGCCCUUUCACGGCGGUAACGCGGGUUCGAAUCCCGCCGGGGACGCCA